rnacentral:ncRNA from 1 species
AUAGUGUUUGGUUCUGGCUCUUAGUUAAUUUUCUCUUAUGGAACAUAUGGUAAUUUAAGUGUUGUGUGAGUAGUUGCAUAAUUUAGUAAUAUUUUUUCUAUAAGGUAAAAUAUUAUGAUUUAUGCGUAGUAUCAGAUGAUCGAUGACGCUUAGAGAAAUCCACAACUCCAAUGGGAAGUUUUGAACAAUUUUCGCAAGAAAGAUUCAGUAAUAGAGAUUAUUAAAUAAAGGUGGUUAAUAAGGUGCCAGCAUCCGCGGUCAAACCUUUGCCUUAAGUUAACUUUUACGGGGGCUUAAAUAUGGGUUAAAAAUUAAAUAUAGAAGAUCUUGGAAAUGCAGGAGCGGUGGAAUGUGUAGGUACACUAAGAUCUAUAGCUUCUAUAAAUUUGAAGCCCAGAUAAUUUAGUAUUUAGAGACCGGGGAUAGAUAUCCCGUUAUUGCUAAGUGUAAAUUUUUAUGCCUGGGGACUACGAACUUUUGUUUAAAACUUAAAGAACUUGGCGGUGCUCUAAAUCCUGUCAGGGGAGCUUGACGCUUAAUUCGAUGAACCACGGGUACCUUACCCUUUCUUGAAGAGACAGUUCGUAUACCGCCGUUGUCAGUUCUUUCUUAAUGGAAAUAGAAGAGAGCUUAAACAAUGUACCUUUUGAUAGUUAUACUUGGUGACUUCAGGUAACGUGCGGCUUAUGAAAGGGGGUUAGUUUGGCUACAAUUUUUUAAAAUACGAAUCAAGACUUGAAAUAGGCUUGUGAAGGUGGACUUGACAGUAAGUUUCUCAAUUAAAAGGAUCUGAAUGCGUUCUUGGGGUGCGUACAAACCGCCCGUCACUCCCGGCAAUAUAAAAAACUGGGAUAAGUCGUAACAUGGUAGGUGUACCGGAAGGUGUACCUAGA